rnacentral:rRNA from 1 species
GACGAACGCUGGCGGCGUGCUUAACACAUGCAAGUCGAACGAAGUGGCGAACGGGUGAGUAACACGUGAGUAACCUGCCCUCUUCUUUGGGAUAACGGUCGGAAACGGCUGCUAAUACUCGAUAGUGGGGGAUGGGCUCGCGGCCUAUUGGCUUGUUGGUGGGGUGAGGGCCUACCAAGGCUUUGACGGGUAACCGGCCUGAGAGGGUGAGCGGUGACAUUGGGACUGAGCUAAGGCCCAGGGGGCUACGGGAGGCAGCAGUGUGGAAUUUUGCCCGAUGGGCGAACACGUGAUGCAGCGACGCCGAGUGAGGGUUGAAGGCCUUCGGGUUCUAAACCUUUAUCGCUAAGGGUGGGGUAGUGGGUAAAGAAGCGACGGCUAACUACGUGCCAGCAGCCGCGGUAAUUC